GCGGAGGAAAAGAAAAUAACAAUGAUUUCCCUAGUAACGGCGAGUGAAGAGGAAAGAGCUCAAAGUUGGAACCUGUUUGGCUUAGCUAAACCGGAUUGUAAACUGUAGAAGUGUUUUCCUGACACGCCUGGUAAAAAAGUCCUUUGGAACAGGGCAUCAUAGAGGGUGAGAAUCCCGUGUUUGGCCAGAGCUGUUGUCUUUUGUGAUACACUUUCAAAGAGUCAGGUUGUUUGGGAAUGCAGCCUAAAUUGGGUGGUAAAUCUCACCUAAAGCUAAAUAUUUGCGAGAGACCGAUAGCGAACAAGUACCGUGAGGGAAAGAUGAAAAGAACUUUGAAAAGAGAGUUAAACAGUAUGUGAAAUUGUUAAAAGGGAACCGUUUGGAGCCAGACUGGCUUAACUGUAAUCAAUCUAGGCUUCGGCCUGGAUGCACUUGCGGUUUAUGCCUGCCAACGACAAUUUUUUUUGAGGGAAAAAACUAUUGGGAAUGUGGCCCUCCUUCGGGGGGGUGUUAUAGCCCUUUAGAAAAUACCUUGAAUUGGAUUGAGGAACGCAGUGAAUGCCUUUAGGCAAGAUUGCUGGGUGCUUUCGUUAAUAAAUGCUAGAAUUUCUGCCUUGGGUGGUGCUAGUGUUUAAAGAUGGAACUCGCCUAGUAUAUUUU
rnacentral:rRNA from 1 species